UUACAAUAUUGAUCCAAUCCAUUGAACCCAAAGAAUACAGAUCACAGCAGUCAAAAAGGCCAAUCCAUCCAAAGGUUGAAGCAUAAGCUGCUUCUUGAACGUCUACACGAGGCUAAGCCAGUAGCUACAAACCUACCAUCAUCUAUCCGAACCUGUAAAUCGAAUUUCACAUUCUAUAGAGAUAUCAACUAAAACUUCCGCCAGAAGGAGUUGCAAUCGUGAUUGAAAGAUUUUGUGACCCCAGAACAAAGUACCUCGCUCAGAGUUCCCAUCGUCUUCCCUUUAUCCAUGUGG
rnacentral:misc_RNA from 1 species